AGUGAACGCUGGCGGUAGGCCUAACACAUGCAAGUCGAACGGCAGCACAGUAAGAGCUUGCUCUUACGGGUGGCGAGUGGCGGACGGGUGAGGAAUACAUCGGAAUCUACCUUUUCGUGGGGGAUAACGUAGGGAAACUUACGCUAAUACCGCAUACGACCUACGGGUGAAAGCAGGGGAUCUUCGGACCUUGCGCGAUUGAAUGAGCCGAUGUCGGAUUAGCUAGUUGGCGGGGUAAAGGCCCACCAAGGCGACGAUCCGUAGCUGGUCUGAGAGGAUGAUCAGCCACACUGGAACUGAGACACGGUCCAGACUCCUACGGGAGGCAGCAGUGGGGAAUAUUGGACAAUGGGCGCAAGCCUGAUCCAGCCACACCGCGUGGGUGAAGAAGGCCUUCGGGUUGUAAAGCCCUUUUGUUGGGAAAGAAAAGCAGCAGGUUAAUACCCCGCUGUUCUGACGGUACCCAAAGAAUAAGCACCGGCUAACUUCGUG
rnacentral:rRNA from 1 species